AUAACGGUAUCUUAAUGAUUUUAAUACAUGAAAAUAAUGUAAAAAAAAAAAAAAAAAUAUCAUGAUACUUAAAGUGGAUAUUAAAAUUGCUUCCUCAAAAAGUAUUUGUAUUAAAUGUGCACAUCACUAUAAUAAUUUACUUUGUUUUACACUAAACUUGUAAUUUUUUCCCCCUCUUCUUAUAUACAAAGUUUAAAGAAGACAAGGUAGUCAAAGACGCCUACCAUCUUUCUAAAACACAUUUCUCUUAAAUGUUUAUAUAUAAACAUCUCUGUAAGUCACCAUGUAUGGCGCUUGUUCUUUCACAAAGUUCAGUAAUGCAGAAGUCAAACAGUCUUGUGAUUUAUAAUGUUGACAGUGAAAAAGCAAGCUGAAUUUCGGGGGGGUUUCCUCAGACUCCAGGCAGGUAUGGGCAAGUGAUAGAUCUUUUUCCUUCAACUUAACUUAACUGGUAUUAGCACCAUCAAUGAACGGUAAAAUAUUCUGCAUGCAAAGACUUCAAUCCCUCUGUAUAAACCAAAUGUUACUGAAAAGCCGUGUAAAAACUAAUAAAUGCUCCUGUUCCACAAAGAACUGAGUCGUCUUUGAGAUCUGAGAUUACUUUUGGCUUAUUUCUGAGGUACAACUUUCUGGAGCCAGCUGAGAGCCGAACUGAAUCAAAGAUAUACGGUCUGCACCCUUUUGUGAAGCAUUUGGAAAGCGUAAGCCCGUGUGACUAGGAGCACAGAGCGUGGACAUUCACUGCACAUUGUGAAUGCUGGCCUCUCUGAAUGGCAUUAGAGCUGAUAAGAGCUCGGCUCAGUGACUGACAGUAUUUUACUGGGUUAGCUUGAUGCAUGGUACCAUGGAGAGCAACAAUCUUCAACUGAGAUCACAUUUAAGUGAAGGACGUAAUGAACAGCUGUGGUUGAUGAUAUCAGUCUAUGAGAAUAUCUAUACUGUAGAAGUCAUUUGUCCAUCUAAACCCCACCUCACUGCACUGCUCCACUCGAAGACAGGGGCUGGAGGUCGAGAGGUCAGCUGAGGUCACAGCUGAAAGCGUCAGGUCACACAGGAGCCUCCCUACUGGACAGAGGUUAACUGGAUGUCCUGUUUUCACUGGAUCAUCAAGAGCUCACUUCCUGUAUAACCAUUAAGACACGUCAAGACGAGAGAGCAGUGCUUGCGACCAUGUCCCAUUGUUGUUGUUGCUUCCGUACCCUUAUCCUGGUUUAUGCAUUAGUGUGUUUUCAGCCUUGAAUGUGAACCAUGUGAACUAUACUGUAAUCUUGCCAUAAACAUUGUAUUUUGUACAUAAUGCAUUUUCCCACAAAUCACUAGGGAUUACAACAGCAUUACUUCUUUAACUUACAUUUCUUUUAAUCAGAUAUAUACAGUAGGUGCUGUAUAUAAAUCCCUCCAUCCUCAUCCAUUUAAAGGACAUAAUAUAAAAGAUGGUUUAAGAGAAAUAGGAAAGUGUGCAAGCCAGAUUCAAACUCUUAUCUCCCACAUGAUAACCAUACUUUAAAAGUGUUUAAUUUGGUAAAAGCGUGCUCAAUUAAAGAUCAAAAUAUUAUUCAAGA